rnacentral:rRNA from 1 species
GUCUGAUUAGUGGCGAACGGGUGAGUAACACGUGAGUAACCUGCCCUCCACUUCGGGAUAACCUCGGGAAAUCGUGGCUAAUACCGGAUAUGAAUCCUUGUCGCAUGGCGAGGGUUGGAAAGAUUUAUCGGUGGGGGAUGGACUCGCGGCCUAUCAGUUUGUUGGUGAGGUAAUGGCUCACCAAGACGAUGACGGGUAGCCGGCCUGAGAGGGCGACCGGCCACACUGGGACUGAGACACGGCCCAGACUCCUACGGGAGGCAGCAGUGGGGAAUAUUGCACAAUGGGCGAAAGCCUGAUGCAGCGACGCCGCGUGAGGGAUGACGGCCUUCGGGUUGUAAACCUCUUUCAGUAGGGAAGAAGCGAGAGUGACGGUACCUGCAGAAGAAGCGCCGGCUAACUACGUGCCAGCAGCCGCGGUAAUACGUAGGGCGCAAGCGUUGUCCGGAAUUAUUGGGCGUAAAGAGCUUGUAGGUGGCUUGUCGCGUCUGCCGUGAAAACCCGAGGCUCAACCUCGGGCGUGCGGUGGGUACGGGCAGGCUACAGUGUGGUAGGAGAGACUGGAACUCCUGGUGUAGCGGUGAAAUGCGCAGAUAUCA